ACCCCUGGCUUAGUGAUAAAGCAUCUGCUUGGCAUACACAGAGUCCCAGGUUCAAUCCCUGGAAUCUCCA
rnacentral:tRNA from 1 species